UGGGGGACAACAUUUCCGAAAGGGAUGCUAAUACCGCAUACGUCCUACGGGAGAAAGCAGGGGAUCUUCGGACCUUGCGCUAAUAGAUGAGCCUAAGUCGGAUUAGCUAGUUGGUGGGGUAAAGGCCUACCAAGGCGACGAUCUGUAGCGGGUCUGAGAGGAUGAUCCGCCACACUGGGACUGAGACACGGCCCAGACUCCUACGGGAGGCAGCAGUGGGGAAUAUUGGACAAUGGGGGGAACCCUGAUCCAGCCAUGCCGCGUGUGUGAAGAAGGCCUUAUGGUUGUAAAGCACUUUAAGCGAGGAGGAGGCUACUGAGACUAAUACUCUUGGAUAGUGGACGUUACUCGCAGAAUAAGCACCGGCUAACUCUGUGCCAGCAGCCGCGGUAAUACAGAGGGUGCGAGCGUUAAUCGGAUUUACUGGGCGUAAAGCGUGCGUAGGCGGCUUUUUAAGUCGGAUGUGAAAUCCCCGAGCUUAACUUGGGAAUUGCAUUCGAUACUGGGAAGCUAGAGUAUGGGAGAGGAUGGUAGAAUUCCAGGUGUAGCGGUGAAAUGCGUAGAGAUCUGGAGGAAUACCGAUGGCGAAGGCAGCCAUCUGGCCUAAUACUGACGCUGAGGUACGAAAGCAUGGGGAGCAAACAGGAUUAGACACCCUGGUAGUCCAUGCCGUAAACGAUGUCUACUAGCCGUUGGGGCCUUUGAGGCUUUAGUGGCGCAGCUAACGCGAUAAGUAGACCGCCUGGGGGAGUACGGUCGCAAGACUAAAACUCCAAAUGAAUUUGACGGGGGGCCCGCACAAGCGGUGGAGCAUGUGGUUUUAAUUCGAUGCACCGCGAAGAACCUUACCUGG
rnacentral:rRNA from 1 species